GAGAGAGGCUCAAAGCAGUAAGGACUGCUAAUCCCAUACCCCCGCGGUUAA
rnacentral:tRNA from 1 species